UAACGCGUGGAUAACCUGCCGUAUGCAGGGGGAUAACAGUUGGAAACAGCUGCUAAUACCGCAUAAGCGCACAAUACCGCAUGGUACUGUGUGAAAAGAUUUAUCGGCAUACGAUGGAUCCGCGUCCGAUUAGCCAGUUGGCGGGGUAACGGCCCACCAAAGCGACGAUCGGUAGCCGGCCUGAGAGGGUGGACGGCCACAUUGGGACUGAGACACGGCCCAAACUCCUACGGGAGGCAGCAGUGGGGAAUAUUGCACAAUGGGGGAAACCCUGAUGCAGCGACGCCGCGUGAGUGAAGAAGUAUUUCGGUAUGUAAAGCUCUAUCAGCAGGGAAGAAAAUGACGGUACCUGACUAAGAAGCCCCGGCUAACUACGUGCCAGCAGCCGCGGUAAUACGUAGGGGGCAAGCGUUAUCCGGAUUUACUGGGUGUAAAGGGAGCGUAGACGGCGCUGCAAGUCCGGAGUGAAAGCCCAUGGCUUAACCAUGGUACUGCUCUGGAAACUGUGGAGCUUGAGUGCGGGAGGGGCAGGCGGAAUUCCUAGUGUAGCGGUGAAAUGCGUAGAUAUUAGGAGGAACACCGGCGGCGAAGGCGGCCUGCUGGACCGUAACUGACGUUGAGGCUCGAAAGCGUGGGGAGCAAACAGGAUUAGAUACCCUGGUAGU
rnacentral:rRNA from 1 species